UGGGGAAUAUUGCACAAUGGGCGAAAGCCUGAUGCAGCGACGCCGCGUGAGGGAUGACGGCCUUCGGGUUGUAAACCUCUUUCAGCAGGGACGAAGCGCAAGUGACGGUACCUGCAGAAGAAGCACCGGCUAACUACGUGCCAGCAGCCGCGGUAAUACGUAGGGUGCAAGCGUUGUCCGGAAUUACUUGGCGUAAAGAGUUCGUAGGCGGUUUGUCGCGUCGUUUGUGAAAACCAGCAGCUCCACUGCUGGCUUGCAGGCGAUACGGGCAGACUUGAGUACUGCAGGGGAGACUGGAAUUCCUGGUGUAGCGGUGAAAUGCGCAGAUAUCAGGAGGAACACCGGUGGCGAAGGCGGGUCUCUGGGCAGUAACUGACGCUGAGGAACGAAAGCGUGGGUAGCGAACAGG
rnacentral:rRNA from 1 species